GACGAACGCUGGCGGCGUGCUUAACACAUGCAAGUCGAACGGAAAGGCCCUGCUUUUGUGGGGUGCUCGAGUGGCGAACGGGUGAGUAACACGUGAGUAACCUGCCCUUGACUUUGGGAUAACUUCAGGAAACUGGGGCUAAUACCGGAUAGGAGCUCCUGCUGCAUGGUGGGGGUUGGAAAGUUUCGGCGGUUGGGGAUGGACUCGCGGCUUAUCAGCUUGUUGGUGGGGUAGUGGCUUACCAAGGCUUUGACGGGUAGCCGGCCUGAGAGGGUGACCGGCCACAUUGCGACUGAGAUACGGCCCAGACUCCUACAGGAGGCAGCAGUGGGGAAUAUUGCACAAUGGUCGGAAGCCUGAUGCAGCAACGCCGCGUGCGGGAUGACGGCCUUCGGGUUGUAAACCGCUUUCGCCUGUGACGAAGCGUGAGUGACGGUAAUGGGUAAAGAAGCACCGGCUAACUACGUG
rnacentral:rRNA from 1 species